rnacentral:misc_RNA from 1 species
GAUGAAGAACGCAGCGAAAUGCGAUAAGUAAUGUGAAUUGCAGAAUUCAGUGAAUCAUCGAAUCUUUGAACGCACAUUGCGCCCGUCAGUAUUCUGGCGGGCAUGCCUGUUCGAGCGUCACUACGCCCCUCAAGUCCCCUGUGGACUUGGUGUUGGGGAUCGGCGAGGCUGGUUUUCCAGCACAGCCGUCCCUUAAAUUAAUUGGCGGUCUCGCCGUGGCCCUCCUCUGCGCAGUAGUAAAACACUCGCAACAGGAGCCCGGCGCGGUCCACUGCCGUAAAACCCCCCAACUUUUUAUAGUUGACCUCGAAUCAGGUAGGACUACCCGCUGAACUUAAGCAUAUCAAUAAGCGGAGGA